rnacentral:rRNA from 1 species
GACGAACCGUGCGAACGUUAUUCGGAAUCACUGGGCUUAAAGGGCGCGUAGGCGGGCCAUCAAGUCAGAGGUGAAAGCCCCCGGCUCAACCGGGGAAGUGCCUUUGAUACUGAUGGUCUCGAGGGGGAUAGGGGCGUGCGGAACUUCCGGUGGAGCGGUGAAAUGCGUAGAUAUCGGAAGGAGCACCGGUGGCGAAAGCGGCGCGCUGGAUCCCUUCUGACGCUGAGGCGCGAAAGCCAGGGGAGCGAACGGG